UUCUCAAGAAAAGAAUUUAAGUCCAACCUAAAGUAAUUCUUGAUCCCCACAAAUCACCACACCACUUUAGAGCAAUUCAAAUGAGGUACAGCCCAUUUGAUAUAGGAUACAACCUUAACUAACGGGUAACAUAAAUCUACACCUUCAAGUAGGCCUAAGAGCAGCCACCCUUUAAAAAGCGUCAAAGCUUAAUCAUGUUUAUAUCAAUUUUAAACCUUCCAUUGACCCCUUUAACUUUACUGAGAAUUUCUAUAUCUUAUAGAACAUUUUAUGCUAAAACUAGUAACAAGAGAAAACUCCCUCCUAAUGCAAACACAAGCCAGCAAGAACCCAUCACUGGCAAUUAACAGACCUAAACAAGAGUAAUAACACCUCUAGAAAACCCUACUCCUCACAACUGUUAACCUAACACCAGAGCAUUUCAGGAAAGAUUAAAAGAAAAAGAAGGAACUCGGCAAACACUAAUCCCGCCUGUUUACCAAAAACAUCGCCUCUUGUUCCUAUAAGAGGUCAAGCCUGCCCAGUGACUUUGUUCAACGGCCGCGGUAUCCUAACCGUGCAAAGGUAGCGUAAUCACUUGUUUUAUAAAUAAAGACCAGUAUGAAAGGCAUCACGAGGAUUAAGCUGUCUCCUUUUUCUAAUCAGUGAAACUAAUCUCCCCGUGAAGAAGCGGGGGUUAUCUUAUAAGACG
rnacentral:rRNA from 1 species